GGAGUUAGCCGGUGCUUCUUCUGUGAGUGAUGUCCUUCCUGCCGGCUAUUAACACGCAGGCCUUCUUCCUCACUGAAAGUGCUUUACAACCCGAAGGCCUUCUUCACACACGCGGCAUGGCUGGAUCAGGGUUGCCCCCAUUGUCCAAUAUUCCCCACUGCUGCCUCCCGUAGGAGUCUGGGCCGUGUCUCAGUCCCAGUGUGGCUGAUCAUCCUCUCAGACCAGCUACGGAUCGUCGCCUUGGUGAGCCGUUACCUCACCAACCAGCUAAUCCGACAUAGGCUCAUCCGAUAGCGCGAGGCCCGAAGGUCCCCCGCUUUCCCCCGUAGGGCGUAUGCGGUAUUAGCCUGGGUUUCCCCAGGUUAUCCCCCACUACCGGGAAGAUUCCUAUGCAUUACUCACCCGUCCGCCGCUCGCCACCAGGGAGCAAGCUCCCCGUGCUGCCGCUCGACUUGCAUGUGUUAGGCCUGCCGCCAGCGUUCAAUCUGAGCCAGGAUCAAACUCUGA
rnacentral:rRNA from 1 species